rnacentral:rRNA from 1 species
AUUGAACGCUGGCGGCAGGCCUAACACAUGCAAGUCGAGUGGCAGCGGGAAAGUAGCUUGCUACUUUUGCCGGCGAGCGGCGGACGGGUGAGUAAUGCCUGGGAAAUUGCCCAGUCGAGGGGGAUAACAGUUGGAAACGACUGCUAAUACCGCAUACGCCCUAUGGGGGAAAGCAGGGGAACUUCGGGCCUUGCGCGAGUGGAUAUGCCCAGGUGGGAUUAGCUAGUUGGUGAGGUAAUGGCUCACCAAGGCGACGAUCCCUAGCUGGUCUGAGAGGAUGAUCAGCCACACUGGAACUGAGACACGGUCCAGACUCCUAAGGGAGGCAGCAGUGGGGAAUAUUGCACAAUGGGGGAAACCCUGAUGCAGCCAUGCCGCGUGUGUGAAGAAGGCCUUCGGGUUGUAAAGCACUUUCAGCGAGGAGGAAAGGUUGAUGCCUAAUACGUAUCAACUGUGACGUUACUCGCAGAAGAAGCACCGGCUAACUCCGUGCCAGCAGCCGCAGUAAUAC